CGAUUGACGUUACCGCAGAAGAAGCACCGGCUAAUCCGUGCCAGCAGCCGCGGUAAUACGGAGGGUGCAAGCGUUAAUCGGAAUUACUGGGCGUAAAGCGCACGCAGGCGGUCUGUCAAGUCGGAUGUGAAAUCCCCGGGCUCAACCUGGGAACUGCAUUCGAAACUGGCAGGCUAGAGUGCUGUAGAGGGGGGUAGAAUUCCAGGUGUAGCGGUGAAAUUCGUAGAGAUCAGGAGGAACCCCGUGGCGAAGGCGGCCCCCUGACAAAGACUGAC
rnacentral:rRNA from 1 species